rnacentral:rRNA from 1 species
CGAACGGGUGAGUAACGCGUGAGGAACCUGCCUCAAAGAGGGGGACAACAGUUGGAAACGACUGCUAAUACCGCAUAAGCCCACGGCUCGGCAUCGAGCAGAGGGAAAAGGAGCAAUCCGCUUUGAGAUGGCCUCGCGUCCGAUUAGCUAGUUGGUGAGGUAACGGCCCACCAAGGCGACGAUCGGUAGCCGGACUGGGAGGUUGAACGGCCACAUUGGGACUGGGACACGGCCCAG